CUAGUUAACGGAGACUUCAAUGUCAUCUACGAGGCGAGAGACAAGAACAACCACAACUUAAAUAGGAGGUUGAUGAGUAGAUUUAGAUCAGCUUUAGACUCGGCGGCGCUCAAAGAAAUCAAAUGUAAAAAUAGGAGGUUCACCUGGAGUAACAAACGGGAAUCGCCCACGUUAGUCAGCAUCGACAAAUUCUUCGCUAACCUAGAAUGGGAAGCCCUUUUUCCCUCCUUCAUGCUCAUCGCCGCAUCCACAACCUGCUCAGACCACUGCCCCCUCAUCCUUGCCAGUGCCACUGCCCCUCCUCGACGAGAAAGAUUCCAUUUUGAAAGCUUCUAG
rnacentral:rRNA from 1 species